GGGCUGAGUUUCUAUAAAUUUAUGAUUUUAGACUGCUGCAUACAAAGUUGUCUUGAAUGCAGUCGCGACACUUGAAGAAAUCUCCUCGGGUUAAUAACAUCGGCUAAAUCCUGCUACUUAUGGCCUAACUUCCCUAUACUAUAUCCAUAUAGCGUAAGAAAAAACAACAUAUAGGCUACUUCAGACUGACGCUUUCCAGCACAAGACAUGCUCAAGAAGGAAUGAAUGAGAAGACACAACUGUUUAGGUGUAUUGGGCAAGACCACAGAUUACUGCAUCACUUGCCUAGUCUAGAAAAUUAAUAUUUCAUUCAUUUUGAAUAAUAAUGUUUUUUUGUUUUUUUUUAUUCACCAUCCAUCUAACCAUUUUUAUUUCAUUUUAUGCUGUCUGUAUUUUGUAUGACAAUUAAAUGACAUUUUGAAGCCACAACCAGGUAUUUCCUUUUCUACUAUAGUUCCACCUUAUGUUCAACUAUCU